CAAGAAUCCACCUUUAAAGACAGCUCAUUUUCUUUCCAGAUGCCAUCCUCCCAGCUUCUCAAAGCUGUCACGUCCUGCUUGGCUUCUCCCCCUGAUGAAUCUGCUCUCCCGGCACUCAGCGCUGGCACUGGAGAAACAGCAAUUAAAGUGGCCAAUCAUGGGCACUCCUAAAUCACGGCUGAGUACUGGUGACAUGAUUAACGGCAGAUGCUCCAAGUGCUGGAGUCAGCAUGUUGGAUGCUUCCUUCCUUCCUUCUUCUCUGGCUACCUUGCAGCCACUUGACCUGGAUUUUCUCUGAAAUUUCCUGGAAAAGAUUCAACUUUAUUGGGGAAGGAGAGAAAUAUCUCAAUGGUUCUGUCCACGGGUGCCCUGUCCUGAGCUGCCUUUCUAACUUCCAGAAAUCACUGUGGUGGUGGCUUUCCAUCUUGCCAGGAAGGCAAGAAUUUUAUCCCUGCUUUAUGGAGUUCCAGGUGACUUGUAGGAAAGAGAACAUAAGGAUGUUGGAGUCAAGGCCAGUUGAGAUGGGGAGAUGCUGUAUCUUGGGCUGUUAA
rnacentral:lncRNA from 1 species